ACCUGGGUGGCUCAGUUGGUUGAGCUCUGACUUUGGCUCAGGUCAUGAUCUCGUGGUUUGUGGGUUCAAGCCCCGCACCGGGCU
rnacentral:tRNA from 1 species